rnacentral:tRNA from 1 species
AGGCGGCAUGGCCAAACGGUAAGGCAGAAGACUGCAAAUCUUCUACAUCUCAGUUCGAAUCUGAGUGUCGCCUA